UACUGGUGUCAUCUGGUUACUUCCCUUCAGUCAAUCAAAAAAACUGACACUCAAAACCCUUAUUCACACGCCUACUUCAAACCUUCUCCUAUACCCAUUUCUCUUCUUCUAAAAGAAACCCUGAACAUUUACCCAUUUCUCUUUCAUUAACUUUCAAGACCCACGGAGUGCCUCUUCUUCAUCAAUUGGAAGCAACAAGGACAAGCUUCCCGUCGACUUCAUCAAGGUAGCAUAAUGGCUAACAAAGGGAAAAGAAAAAUGGAGAGCAGCGAUAGUCACUCCACUUUUGAAGAAUAUGAUGAUUCAUACUCAGAAGAUGAAUACGAAGAUGAGAAGAUUAUCCCACGAGACCGUAAACAGCAAGCAUUUUUAUUAUUAUUUUGCACAAAUGUAUCAACCAUACAGACGGUCUCAUCCAACUAUGACUAUUGAAGAAAGUGUUGGGUGAAGCAUUUGAAGCUCUUCCCCAAGAGGAGAAGUCCCAAUAUGGAGUUGUAUGCCACAAAGUCGAGUGUGACAGGGGUACCUUUUUACAUUGCAAGUGCAACCCUUUCAGGGUUGUGUCAUUAACCAAGACCCUGAGUGUUGUACAGAAGAAAAAUAUUGCUGGUAUUGGGUUUGGUUGCUUCCUCAACAUGCAAUUAGACAGCGUGAAGAGCCAAUUAGUGAAAGUGUUGGCGGACCAAUUUGAUGAUGGGGGCAAGACACUAACUCUGAAUGGGAUAGAGUAUAAGUUGCAACCCCAGGAUUUUGACCAUGUCAUGUGCUUGAGAGAUGGAGGAAUCCCAAUUAACUUACCCACUAAGGACGCCAAUAACCCUUAUAGGCCACUUCUUCUAGAUAUUAAUUGAGUGGCGACUUUAAAGAAGCAGGAGUUUAGCAUUAAACGGAGCAGGCAGCAGACGAGCUUUUCCUAAUCCGCUAUGCUUUAUUCGUGAUUGGGGCAGUACUAUGUCCUACAUCUGGAAACCGAAUUAAGAACACUUACUUAUCCAUAUUGCAGAAUGUGGAGAAGAUUAAACAAUACAAUUGGGCUACACAUUCACUAGAAUACUUGGCUCACAGUAUCUAGCGACACAAGCGCGGUGAGAUACAUUAUAUGCCUGGAUGUUCGAUCUUUCUAUAGUGAUUUGGCCACAUGGUCAAGUUGACAGGGGAGUACCUCCUAUUUCCUUUUGGACUAAGCAACAUUUCCAUAGGUUUUAUCAAUAUCUCAAACACAAUGGAGGUUUUGCAAAUCCUGAAGUUAAACUACUUCCAGCACCUAGUGUUCACAAAGCUAAAUGGGGUGGAAGUGUCCAUCGGGUAUAGGCUGGUCCAAGUGCCUCAACUACCUCGACUAGCCCAAAUCCCAGCAUAGAUAGGACCACUUCCAACAAGUUUGAACCUGCGAUGAUGAUGUCUAUGAUGAUGGAGUGCAUGGACAAAUUUGAGAAGAGUACCAACAACAAGGUUGAUAAGCAUGCCCGGGACUUAAACAAGUUGUCCACAACUAUUGAUUCAAUGCCUACCAAACAUGCCAAAGUAUUUUAGAGAGAGUUUUCGGCGAUGAAGAGAUCCAUUCUCGAGGACCUUAGGAAGGAUGGGGACUCUAAACCUACAAUUGAGAAAUCUCAGCCAACUUUCCAAACUCCUGAGCAUACCCAACACAUGAGUUAUUUCAACAAUGCCCCUGCAUAUGAAACUUCAACAUGGGCUGGUAAUGAUAUAGAAGUCGAUGGCUUGCGCAAGGAAGAAAUGAGUAAUGAUGCGAGGUCCCUAGUGUUGUGGAGUAAGUUGUUAACUGCCAAAUGGAGUGAGGGUGGUGAUGAUUAGAAAGUAGAAGAUGGUGUAAUUGUUUUACCAAAGCCUAAUCUCCUGCCUAGUGAAGAUAAGGUUUGGAAGAAAUUCAUUUCUUCUAAGGGACUUAUCGUGGAUCCAUUCGAACUUACUCAAGCUAUCACUGAAGAUGAUUUCAAGAUAAUUCAGUAUAUAUUCACCAACAACCUUCAAAGGAGAGAAGUUUUGUACUCUAGUGGAGGUGUCAAACUUACAAGAGGUCAAAUUCAAUUGUUGAAGCCUGAUACCGAGGUCGAUGGAAAGAUUAAGGUAACCCUAGAUGACCGGUGGCUAGCAGAUUCCCGUUAGCAAGACUGAAAAAAUCUUAAGGAAAGCAAGAGUUAAGGGAAGUUGCAAAAAUCAGCAGUGGGCAGUGAACCGCUACUCCGACGAUUUAAAUCGAUGUGAACAAGUGAGACCGUCUGAAUUUGGGACUCCAUUUCAUCUGCCAUGCGUCGGAGAGAUAUCACUUUGCUUACUACAGAGAUGGUUAAUUUUGCUUAAAUACGGUUGCAAUUUAAACUUAUCAAUUGACCCCCAAUGUUGUUUCAUUUAACAUUUUUGAUGCGUCAUUGUAAUACAGCUUGCCAGCCUUGAUGACAUUCUUCAGCUGUCAUCAAGGAUUUAUUUUGGGGAAUAUUUCAUGUUCAGUGACUUUAAAAUUGAAAUGUCAAAGGAUGCUCAAACUCAAGAUAAUGGGACUGAUUGUGGGGUUUAUGUGAUGAAAUAUAUGCAACAUCUUAACAACAAAAACUGAGGAACGCAUGGGGCAAGUAACACCCCACAAACCUAACUAACAUUGCUUCCUAAUGGCUCUUACAUGGCAUUAGAGAUGCAUUUAGCUAAUGAGUUUUUUUUUUUUUUUCUGAGAUUGCCUUUGGACAACAGGUCCAUAGUCACACUGCCAGGAUGGAAUUGGCAUUAGAGAUUGUUCGGGACAAUAACAAUAGAUUAAUUCAGUAAGUGAAGGAAAAAGCUGAGGAAUUUUACUCGAAGUAUAUCGGAACACAUUUAACAGGUACAACUCCGAAAUCUAAGACUCUUGCAUUUGUUAAAAGUCCCACCAAAUCCCCUAUUGAAGAGAGGUUCUCCACAAAGAAGGAGAAGACAAAAUAUGAUUCCCAAUUAUCCGAAAAGAUACACCCGAGUUGCCUUCCAGUGCCUAAACAUGGAAGAUGAAUGAUGGACUUAUAAAUGCAUUUUUUUUGGUAUAAUGUAUGUUUUCAUGGCCACUAAAUUAUGCAUCUUUUUUGCAAGUGUUAUCAUUUGGGAAUCACUGCUUUGGACUAGUUCUAGUAUGAACAUUUGUUAGGAUAAUGGUUAUAUUGCUGAAAAGUUUAAUGAAAAGCCUAUGUGGAAUGGCCAUAGGUUGUUCUAGUUGUUAGAGGCUUAGAAAAUCCACCCUUCUCCACUAUCUUAAAAUGUGAACUUUGGGUUUCACUUUGUAUAUCUUUAUUACCCUACUAAACUUUGUGUAUCAUUUUGAAUAUAAAAAUUUCAUGAUGUAUUAGUGAAUCUAUGUAACGACCCUAAAUUCACUAAUAUGGCUUAAGGGCCUCGAUUAGUGUGUCGGGAGGGCAUAUUUGGUCCAUGUGUGAAUUAAUUGAUUAAAUAUAUGAUUAUAUGUUAGGUAUGCCUGUUUGGUUAUAUGAAUGUUAAAUUGUGAUUAAAUGUUAUAAUUGUGAGAACCACAUUAUUAUGUGGGUGAAUCUGCAGCGUGCGACUUGAGGCGAUCCUAGGGAGCUAGAUAGCGGGAAAAGUCACAACAGGGCUUAGCAUUUGAUUUUGGAUAAAUCAGGGGUAUUUUAGGUAUCGGGUAGUUAUUUGGACUAUCGGGUUAUGGAAAUAAAUAUAUGGAUAUAUAUUUGAGGUUAGGAGGUCUAGGCGGGAAUAUUGGGGAAUUUUACCGUUUUGCCCUUAGGGGACGUUUCCGGCACCCCGAGCCUUGGGAUUGACUUAACGGGGUAAAGGAUAGACUUAGUUAGACAGAAGCUAGUGGAAAAAAAGAUUAGACCAACUCUUUUUCUCUCUCUCUCUCUCUCAUCUCUCAGGGAAACUAGAAAAAAAAAACACAAGAAAGACGGAGAAAAUUUGGAGGAUUUGAGCUGGGAUUUCAGAGGUUUUCAGUGGGGAUUUAGAAGCUUAGCUCAAGGAUUAUCCAAGGAACAUUUAAUCAAGGCCAAGGUGAGAAUUAAAUUGUGUUUUUGAGGUUAGAAACUCUGAGUUUUUCUGAGUAGUGAGAUAAUUGUGAUUUUGAUGUUUAAGGUUGAAUUGAAGCUGGAUACUUGGGAAUUAACUUGGAUUUUGCUUAGAGAAGUGGUUCAGCAGAAGAGGUAAGCUUUAAUUGGUGAAUGAGAGGUUUAAAUUCGAGUUUUGCAUGGCUGGUUGGGUGUUUUGAAAUUCUUGAGUUUCAGAAAUUUAAAUUAGGAUUUCAAUGAGUUUUAAGUUAGGUUUUCAGUUGAAUUAAGUUGUUAGAGUCAUUCUAAAAGUGUUGGGAUUAAUUGGUUUUGAAUUAGGAAGCUUUGGGAUGAUUUUUGAGUAAGGUUUAGAGGUUGAAAAUGGUGGAAUUCCUAGGCACGAAGGGAAGGGCCACGACACUGUUCUAGAGUACUGUGGCCCUAGGAUGCAAAGGAGCCAGGGAGGCUUGGCCAGGGGUAAGCGUCGUGACGCCCAAAGGAAGGGUCGCGGCGCGUGUCUUCUUUCAGGGGUGGCCUUAGUUCUGUUUUAGGUCAGGGCUGUGGCUAAGCUUCAAGGGUCGCAGCCCUUAGGUGUGUACUUGAACAUUUAGGGUUUUAAAGCACGGGAAUGUAGUCUAGGGUGCUCGGGAUCGAUUUCCCCACCGUGCUUGGUGGAAUUCGAUGUCCCGGAAGCUAGUAUUAUACUCGGAAACUCUUACUUUAAUAUUAAUGGAAUCAAAUAUCUUG